rnacentral:rRNA from 1 species
GGUUGAUCCUGCCAGUAGUCAUAUGCUUGUCUCAAAGAUUAAGCCAUGCAUGUCUAAGUAUAAACAUCUAUACAGUGAAACUGCGAAUGGCUCAUUAAAUCAGUUAUCGUUUAUUUGAUAGUACCUUGCUAAUUGGCAUACGCCUGGCAAUUCUAGAGCUAAUACAUGCACACAAGCCCAACCUCCGGAAGGGCUGUAUUUAUUAGAUAAAAAAUCAACACUCCAGAAGAUUCAUAAUAACUUGUCGAAUCGCAGGGCCUCGGGCCGGCGAUGGUUCAUUCAAAUUUCUGCC